GGCGUACACUCCUUACGACAGGGGCGCCUCCCUUUGCGCCGCCGGGCGACCGAGCGCUCGACAGGCGGGCCGCCCGGCCCCGCGGGGCGGGAGAGCGCCAGCGAGGAGAGGGAAAAAAAGUCGACCGCCCGGCGCGGUGAGAGGGGGAAAAAGAGGGGCAGAGCACAAAGGGAGGCGCGCCCAGAGAGCCAAAGACCCGGUGUCCUUUUUUUCGUACAACAAAAAGAACCUUUGACGGCAAAAAAGGCGACGCAGCGGCCCCAAAGCGCGACGGAUUCGUCCUUUUCC
rnacentral:lncRNA from 1 species